GAUAACCUCGCGAAAGUGAGGGUAACACCUGAUAGGGAAAUUUUUCUGGAAUGAUUUUUUCCCAGAAACUUGUGCCUUAGGAUGGGCCGGCGGCAGAUUAGGCAGUUGGCGGUGUAACGGACCACCAAACCGAAGAUCUGUACGGGCCAUGAGAGUGGGAGCCCGGAGAGGGACACUGAGAUACUGGUCCCAGCCCUACGGGGUGCAGCAGGCGCGAAACCUUUUCAAUGCACGCAAGUGUGAGAAGGGAAUUCCAAGUGCUCAAGUUUAACUUGGGCUUUUGUCAAGUGUAAAAAGCUUGGCGAAUAAGGGGUGGGAAAGACUGGUGCCAGCCGCCGCGGUAACACCAGCGCCUCGAGUGGGGAUCGCGAUUAUUGGGUCUAAAGCGUCCGUAGCAGGCUUUGUAAAUGCUUUGUGAAAUUGUCUGGCAUAACCAGACAGCGUGCAGAGUAGACUGCAGAACUUGAGACCGGGAGAGGUUAGCAGUAUUCCUUGGGUACCGGUAAAAUGGGUUAAUCCAAGGAGGACUACCAAUGGCGAAGGCAGCUAACCAGAACGGUUCUGACUGUGAGGGACGAAAGCUAGGGGAGCAAAACGGAUUAGAUACCCGAGUAGUCCUAGCCGUAAGCGCUGUGAGCAAGGUAUUGCGUAUCCCUUGAGGAUGCGCAGUGUCGAAGAGAAGUCGUUAAGCUCACCACCAGGGAAGUACGGUCGCAAGGCUGAAACUUUAAGGAAUUGGCGGGGGAGCACA
rnacentral:rRNA from 1 species